UACAGAGGUGGCAAGCGUUGUUCGGAAUUACUGGGCGUAAAGGGUUUGUAGGUGGCUUGCUAAGUCAGACGUGAAAUCCCUCAGCUUAACUGGGGAACUGCGUCUGAGACUGGUGAGCUUGAGUGCAGGAGAGGAACGCGGAAUUCCAGGUGUAGCGGUGAAAUGCGUAGAUAUCUGGAGGAACACCGGUGGCGAAGGCGGCGUUCUGGACUGCAACUGACACUGAGGAACGAAAGCCAGGGGAGCAAACGGG
rnacentral:rRNA from 1 species